rnacentral:rRNA from 1 species
CCCUUAGAUGUCCUGGGCCGCACGCGCGUUACACUGAUGCAUUCAACGAGCUUAUAACCUUGGCCGAGAGGCCCGGGCAAUCUUGUUAACGUGCAUCGUGAUAGGGAUAGAUUAUUGAAAUUAUUAAUCUUGAACGAGGAAUUCCUAGUAAACGCAGAUCAUCAAUCUGCAUUGAUUACGUCCCUGCCCUUUGUACACACCGCCCGUCGCACCUACCGAUUGGAUGGUCCGGUGAAGCCUCGGGAUUGUGGUUCUUGCCGCUUUAUUGUGGCGUGACCGCAAGAACUUGUCUAAACCUUAUCAUCUAGAGGAAGGUGAAGUCGUAACA